GUUAAUUACAGAUAUCUUGACCCACCAGGGGACCAAAGAAAAUGGUUCUACUAAAGGAAUGUUUGACUUAAGCGAUGUAUAACUGUCUAAAAGAUGCAGUUACGUGAUGUUCUUCAAUAAAAAGACACAAUGCACAAGGAUAGAAUUUAGACUGUUUGAAGCUUGGAUCAUAUUGAUUGGAUUGUGAAAAAUGUGCAUCAAAUAAAAAUGAGUCUAAUGACAGAAGACGAUAAAAAUACAUACAAAUUUGAUAUUGGUGUUGAAGACAACGAUAUCAUGAUUUUAUCAAGAUCGUUUUGAAAAUAUUUUUAAUUUUGUAUAAGUUUUUGUUCUUAAAAUGUAUAAAUUAUUUUU